AGGACAGACAUGGUGGGCAACUGGGAUCUAAAGAUGAGGGCAGGAAGCCACCUCUGCUUUAACUGGCUCAGUAAGCACGACAGGCCCCUUACACAUAUUUUUUUUUUUUAAAUGUGCUCAGAAUUAAGACCAGGGUGUUGUUCCUCAAGGCUCUAUCACCAGAUCAAAUUCUGUCCCUAAAACACAUGUAAGGAUCGGGGUGAUGUAAAGAAAAUGACCUGACUAUCAAAGACCAAAGUGUGCCCUGGUAACAAGUGUCUGUCAGCUGUCACUGGAAGGUGAGCACUGCAGAACCAAGUGCUCUUCCCUUUCUUACCUCAUUCUGAUCAUCAUUCAUUCAUACUGUGAGAGCCAGGCUGGGCUCCUAGAGAACAUCCUAAGUCCAAGGCCCCAAGUACUGGGCUUAGCAUCCUGACUUACAUGCUGGACCCAUGUCAGUGUGGUCUCUGUAAGACAGCCUUCUGAACUAGUAAAUGAGCAUCUGCAGCCGUCAAGUUAGUGCAGAGACCAUCCACUGAACCAUCGGAACCGUGGUCAGUCCAGCUUCUCAAGAACACAGCACAAAACACGGAACCCUGUACUGUGAGAAGCCACUGACCAAGACAGACUGUGAAAUACUAAGGAUUGUCUUUCCUUAUGUAACAGUAUUUCUAUUUAGAGGAACUCUAACAUUUCUUUAAAAAUGUGCUGCCUCCAGGAUAGCAAUAUAAAAUGUGUCAUACACAUUUG
rnacentral:lncRNA from 1 species